rnacentral:rRNA from 1 species
CGUGCUAAUCUGCGAUAAGCGCCGGUAAGGUGAUAUGAACCGUUAUAACCGGCGAUACCCGAAUGGGGAAACCCAGUGUGACUCGUCACACUAUCAUUAACUGAAUCCAUAGGUUAAUGAGGCGAACCGGGGGAACUGAAACAUCUAAGUACCCCGAGGAAAAGAAAUCAACCGAGAUUCCCCCAGUAGCGGCGAGCGAACGGGGAGGAGCCCAGAGCCUGAAUCAGCAUGUGUGUUAGUGGAAGCGUCUGGAAAGGCGCGCGAUACAGGGUGACAGCCCCGUACACAAAAGCGCAUGUGCUGUGAGCUCGAUGAGUAGGGCGGGACACGUGGUAUCCUGUCUGAAUAUGGGGGGACCAUCCUCCAAGGCUAAAUACUCCUGACUGACCGAUAGUGAACCAGUACCGUGAGGGAAAGGCGAAAAGAACCCCGGCGAGGGGAGUGAAAAAGAACCUGAAACCGUGUACGUACAAGCAGUGGGAGCACCCUUUGGGGUGUGACUGCGUACCUUUUGUAUAAUGGGUCAGCGACUUAUAUUCUGUAGCAAGGUUAACCGAAUAGGGGAGCCGGAGGGAAACCGAGUCUUAAC